AUUAAGGAUAACGGCGGAUACCUAGGCAUUCAGAGUCGAAGAAGGGCGUGGAAACCGACGAAACGCUUCGGGGAGUUGGAAACAAGCUUUGAUCCGGAGAUUCCCGAAUGGGGCAACCCUAUAUACUGCCAACUGAAUUCAUAGGUUGGUAAGAGGCAACCCGGUGAAUUGAAACAUCUUAGUAGCCGGAGGAAGAGAAAGCAAAAGCGAUUCCCUUAGUAGCGGCGAGCGAAAAGGGACUAGCCUAAACCAUAAGCUUUUUUGGCUUAUGGGGUCGUGGGAGAAGUUAUAAACCCUACCUGUUACAUCAAAGAUGUAACAUCUUUGAUGUUAGGGUAAUGUCAAAUUGAUCUAGACGAAUCAGCUGAAUCCUGUACCAUAGAUGGUGAAAGUCCAGUAGUCGAAAGAUCAAUAGAACAUUUUCCUUUUAUCCCGAGUAGCAUGGGGCACGUGAAAUCCCGUGUGAAUCAGCGAGGACCACCUCGUAAGGCUAAAUACUCCUGAGUGACCGAUAGCGAAGAGUACCGCGAGGGAAAGGUGAAAGAGAACCCCUUCUGGGGAGUGAAAAAGUACAUGAAACCGUUAUCUGACAAGCUGUGGGAGGGGGCUGCUUUGCUGGACCCUGACCGCGUGCCUGUGGAAGAAUGAGCCGGCGACUUAUAGGGAGUGGCGUGGUUAAGGGGGAGAGACCCGAAGCCAGAGUGAAAACAAGUCCUCACAGGGCGUUUCCGUCACUUCUUAUGGACCCGAACCCGGGUGAUCUAACCAUGGCCAGGAUGAAGCUUGGGUAACACCAAGUGGAAGACCGAACCCAUCGAUGUUGAAAAAUCGUGGGAUGAGUUGUGGUUAGGGGUGAAAUGCCAAUCGAACUCGGAGCUAGCUGGUUCUCCCCGAAAUGCGUUGAGGCGCAGCGGUUGAUGAAUGAACUGCCUAGGGGUAAAGCACUGUAUCGGUGCGGGCUGCGAGAGCGGUACCAAAUCGUAGCAAACUCUGAAUACUAGGUAUGAAUUGCCAUCAGCCAGUGGGACGGUGGGGGAUAAGCUCCAUCGUCGAGAGGGAAACAGCCCAGAUCACCAGCUAAGGCCCCAAAAUGAUCGCUCAGUGGAAAAGGAGGUGAAAAUGCUGAAACAGCCAGAAGGUUCGCUUAGAAGCAGCAAUCCUUUAAAGAGUGCGUAAUAGCUCACUGGUAGAGCGUUCUUGCGCCGAAAAUGUACGGGACUAAGCGAUCUGCCGAAGCUGUGGGCUCCCUUUCUUUUUUUGAAAUGAAAGGGAAGCGGUAGGGGAGCGUUCUGCCAUAGGGUGAAGGGAGAAUGAGAAUUCUCCUGGACGAGGCAGAAGUGAGAAUGUCGGCUUGAGUAACGAAAACAUUGGUGAGAAUCCAAUGCCCCGAAAACCUAAGGAUUCCUUCACUAGGCUCGUCCAUGGAGGGUUAGUCAGGUCCUAAGGCAAGGCCGAAAGGCGUAGUCGAUGGGAAACAGGUUAAUAUUCCUGUACUUUUGAGAGUGUAGCAUUGAGGGACGAAGGUGGCACGGGAUGGCCAAAAUUGGAUUUUGGUGGAAACGGGCAAGGUGAAGAGAGGGAGAAAAGAAACUCUCCUUGAGCCGAGCUGUGAUACGGUUCUGACUCGGUCUCUCCCUCAAAAGAGGGAUCAUCAGGGCUCAUCCCUUCCUGUCAGUCUUCCUAGAAAAGCUCAAAAAAGCGGUCCUCUCAAGACCUGUACCUGAAACCGACACAGGUAGGUGGGUAGAGAAUACCAAGGGGAGCGAGAGAACUCUCUCUAAGGAACUCGGCAAAAUGGCCCCGUAACUUCGGGAGAAGGGGUACCCCUCAAAUGGGGGGUCGCAGUGACCAGGCCCAGGCGACUGUUUACCAAAAACACAGGUCUCCGCAAAGUCGUAAGACAAUCUAUGGGGGCUGACGCCUGCCCGGUGCCGGAAGGUGAAGGGAGUUAGUUAUCCAUCUUUGGGUGGAAAAGCUUACAACCGAAGCCCCGGUGAACGGCGGCCGUAACUAUAACGGUCCUAAGGUAGCGAAAUUCCUUGUCGGGUAAGUUCCGACCCGCACGAAAGGCGUAACGAUCUGGGCACUGUCUCAGAGAGAGACUCGGUGAAAUAGACAUGUCCGUGAAGAUGCGGACUUCCUACACCUGGACAGAAAGACCCUAUGAAGCUUUACUGUAGCCUGAGAUUGGGUUUGGGCUUCUCUUGCGCAGUCUAGGUGGGAGGCGUUGAAAACUCCUUUCCGGGGGAGUUAGAGCCAUCAGUGAGAGACCACUCUGGAGAAGCUAGAAUCCUAAUAGUGAUCCUUGAUCAGGACACUUGACAGUCUCAGGUGGGCAGUUUGACUGGGGCGGUCGCCUCCUAAAAGGUAACGGAGGCGUGCAAAGGUUCCCUCAGGCUGGACGGAAAUCAGCCGGAGAGUGCAAAGGCAAAAGGGAGCUUGACUGCAAGACCUACAAGUCGAGCAGGGGCGAAAGCCGGCCUUAGUGAUCCGACGGUACCACGUGGAAGGGCCGUCGCUCAACGGAUAAAAGUUACUCUAGGGAUAACAGGCUGAUCUUCCCCAAGAGUUCACAUCGACGGGAAGGUUUGGCACCUCGAUGUCGGCUCAUCGCAACCUGGGGCGGUAGUACGUCCCAAGGGUUGGGCUGUUCGCCCAUGAAAGCGGUACGUGAGCUGGGUUCAGAACGUAGACAUCACUGCGUUGCAGCGUAGAAAUAUGACUGUUAGCAUCGGCUUAUAUCGGUGAAGCCUUCACAAGGAAGAACUGCUUUGUAUGGUAAUACCGAGGGAAGAAUACCAAAAUCAUGACACUCAAACAAUUAACCUCGCUUGAUCUCGCCUAUGUUGCAGGGAUUAUUGAUGGAGAUGGAUGUAUCAAUGCUCAGAUUGUGCGUCGACAUGAUUAUGUAUUGAAAUUUCAAAUACGCAUAAGCGUUACUGUUUUUCAAAAGACCACACGACAUUGGUUUAUACUCCACUUGCAAAAAGAGAUAGGAUUGGGGACCGCGCGAAAAAGACCAGAUGGGAUCUCGGAGUAUGCUUUGAUUGGUAACAGCU
rnacentral:rRNA from 1 species